rnacentral:tRNA from 1 species
GGUCGAUUAGCUCAGCUGGGAGAGCACCUCCCUUACAAGGAGGGGGUCACUGGUUCGAGCCCAGUAUCGACC